GGAAAGGUGGAGACGAAGGUGCGCAAGAUAGCUAGUAUGUGUGGCGAGAGAGAGAGAGAGAGAGAGAGAGAGAGAGAGAGAGAGAGAGCACCCAGCGGCCCUCACGACAAUUGUUUCUGCAUCUUUGUCACUGAACCACUACCAGCUUUAUACUUGUCACCGCUGGUCCACCGCUUGCGUCUGCUUUCCAUAAAUCUUCUUAUCUCUGUUGGUUCUG